CCUUCAGGUGCUUAUUUUCCUUUUUCAGGGAACUCAGCUCCAGCUCCAACUUUUCCGUGCUGCUCCUAAGGGACUCCAAAACAUUUUGUAGCUCCUGUGUCUUCUUGAGGUCUUCCUGCAGAUCUGUGUUUUGUUUUUGGAGACUUUCACAGUUGGCUUGCAGCUUCUUAUUUUCUUUAAGCAAGUUUUUGUUUUGUAGUUCAAUCUCUUCCACUUCUCCCUGUGUGGUAACCACCAGAAUAUCAUCCUCAGUUUCUGCUCUGAACUGGAAAGGCACACUGGCUCCACGGAUUGUACCAUCCUGGUCAAUGUAGCAGAACUGGUAAUACUCAUCAUCUUUGGGCAGGUAGUAAGCUUUGAACUGGAUCUCUUGCUGCACAGCACUAUCACCAUGGACAUCACUGGGCCGAGGAGCCCACAUGAACGUGUAAUAUUCUCGGGUGGUUUUCCAUCCCACCCGGAAGAUGCCCACCCAGUCCUUCCCACGAGGAACAAUGUUGUGUGUCAGAGUAUAGCGAC
rnacentral:lncRNA from 1 species